UGCCCAGCAACUCCUAUCCCUACCUCCUCGCGGUACCGGCCGGAAACUAUAAGGCAAUCUAGCGCUCAUCACCCUUCUCUCUCAAGCAAACACAGAAGA
rnacentral:ribozyme from 1 species